rnacentral:lncRNA from 1 species
AUGAGACCCAAGAACCGCGACAGGCCAUGUACGGACGAGGCCGCCCCGUCGUCGACGCUCUCUGUCUCGGCACCCAACUCGUUCAUGAGGUCGCGGCGGCCGGCGAGCGCCAUCGUCACACGGAGAAACGGGACGACGGUCGAGUGGAACAUGGAGGUCGCCAUCGAGUCCUCAUCCGUGUCGGGUGUUGCGCGUGUGUGGAGCCACAUGACAUCGUCGCACAUCGACGGCCACGGUCGACUGAUCUUCAUGGCGCCUGCCGGUGGUGGGCCAACAUAAGACGCGAUGAUGACCAUGGAAAUGGCCAAUACUUGCAAAGGGUAAAACGGAGAUCGAUCAAGCGUCGCAACAACGGCCUCGUCGCCAUAUUGCGCACGCAACCCCGUUAGACCGCCGCGCGCCACCAGAGCCCACGUGGCAUUGACGCCGUCGGCCGACGCAGUCAAUGGGUCGGCCAUCGCUUUGUGGGCCAGUUGAUCGCUCGCAGGGUCUGCCUCUUUGGGCCGCCCUAGUUGCUUCUCCAACAGUUGGAGGGCAGAAACGGCUCCUCCCGUGUCGUCGUCCAUGCUCUCGAUCGACUGCCGCAACAAGCCAACAAUGUCAAAGCCGCUCGCGGCAGAGACCCGCUCGGCGACGGCACGCAUGGCGACCUCGUCCAUCGUGUGGGCCGUGCACAUGAUCGCCAACAGGACCUCUGACUCGAGGCGCAUGCGCGGCCAGAUCAAUUCGUCGGUGCGAUUCAGGGACGUCCCGCGCACCAUUGCAUGGGCAGAAAGCACGCACUCGGUGGUAGGGGCGCGCGUCGGACGAUUGUCGUCGUCACACAACCAUGCAAGCGCCCGUUCGCAACCAUGGUGGGCGGCGGCCACAGCCAAGGCUAGCCACGGUGCCGGACUGGGCGGCCAUGUGGGCGAAUCAAUCGCGCCGUUCUCCAGGGCCAAGCGUAUGGCCCACAAUUCGUCCAACGUUGUGUGGACCGGCGGUUCCGGGUCGAGAUCAGGCGCCGGCGGCAAUGUGGAAGCGACCUCGACCAUCCGCGCCUUGAGAUGGUUCAACACGUCGACGUGGUCCCGAAUGGCGGCCGCGUAGAGGCAGGCGUCCCAACGGAAUCCAGCAAUGGGUCCAAAGACCUCGGGUCGCAAAGCGGCAUACUGCAGACCGUCCAGAUCGCCAGCAGCGCACAGGGAUAGGAGCGUGGCAAAGCGACAACGGUGGAUGGUCAGGUCUGCUGGCGUCAGCACGUGGAAGCGUCGCCAAGCCAAGAGACAGGCGCCCAGGUCCUUGGGGUCAUGGACAUGGGUCGACACAAUCAGAUAGAGAAUAUCGUCGGGCAGGACGUCAAUCGGUGGGUCCAUGACAAUGGCCUCUCUUCUUUGCAAAAAAAGUCAAGGGUGUGUCCUGUUUUCGUGAAAAGGAUGUGCAAGCCAAAGAAAGCCAAACCAGCGCGAUGGCUGCGCAGGGCUGUCCACAGCGACGUCGGCGCACAAACCGGCCCCGCUUUUUUGCC